AUUCUCGCCGCAGGUUGUUAUUGGUUAGCACGUGUGCCUAGAAUUUUUAGUUUUUUCAAGUGUUUUAGUGACCUUUUGUGACUUAUUGUUGUGUUUGUGUGUUGUCCUUGUGUUCGUUACCAGUGUUGUUCUGUUGUUUCGUGUCGUCCUACUAACAAGUUAAAGUUACACAAGAUCGGCUACAACAGCAUCUUAAAUUCCUUUUGUUUUUUUGUGUUUUUUUUUUUAAUCACAAGCACGACUUGCUUCUCAUUUCACUUGUCAUUGGCAGAAUCGUCGACAUUGACAUCGACACGGAUUGCCAUAAAUAAAAAUAGAAUAGAAUAGAAUAG
rnacentral:misc_RNA from 1 species